GGAGGGCAAGACUGACACCUGUACGUGGUGCCUUCUACGAACCUGGGAGUGAAAUAUUCUCCCAGAGCCAAGUUCAGUCAAAUUUCGCAAUACCGAUUAAGUUGGCCCACGAGGCAAUAAUUCAAAAUUCUCCGCCAACGUCAAAUUUUCGCUCCCAACGAGUUCGACUCCUACUCAAGUCUCAUCAAGUUUACAAGUACGACCAAGUACAUCCUCAUUUCAAUGACCACACCUCUCAUCAACUAUUCUCUGGCCUCAGCUAGCCGCCAAAUACACGCCCACGCCGAUAUUUACACCCGACGGAGGAAGCAAAGCGUGGCGCACAAAUCUGGGAGGCAGUUCUUUGAGACGGAUGUGAGAGGGAUUGGGACAAGUUUACAAGAUGAUACGGAGGAUGGAUACACUCUCGACAGGCGUGUGAUUUUGAAUUUUGGCAGAGUUUUACGAAUUGAGCUGUGUGCGCGCCAAGACUUCGCUUGCGAGAGUGCAGCGGACACUAUAAAAACUCGCAAACGAUGGAUGGUGCUGUAGUCCGCCUCCUGGUGGUGUUCUCUGGUAUAGUUUGAGUAGCCUAGGCACCUACUCCACUUGGGAAGGAGACACCGAAGACUACAUUUNNNCAAGAAAUUCAGAGGAUGAUGAAGGCAUGUCUGGAUAACUCAGGGUUUUUGAGACGUUCCCCUGGGUGGGUAUUCACGGAUGAGGGUUGACUUGGGGUGAAGAAAAAGCCGCCAUAACUUCGCAGUGGUACUUGCAAAUGAAAUCUGAGGGCAUGAGUGMACUUAUUGUAAAUUGAGUCAUCUAUUCUGUACAUUUCCUCCGAUAUUGUGUCAUAGCUAGUUAGCUGCAUACGCAAUUAAAAUCUGAUGCAAAAAAAAAAAAAAAAAAAAAAAAAAAAAAAAA
rnacentral:misc_RNA from 1 species